AUGCUUGCUUCUGCAGCAUAUAUACUAAAAUUGGAACAAUACAGGUUAGCAUGGUCCCUAUGCAAGGGCGACAUGGAUGCAAUUGGAUUAGUAGAAAUUAAU